rnacentral:misc_RNA from 1 species
UUGUAAAACAGAGGGGGUGUCUUCCUCCCUGCUCCGGCUUUGCGGCCGUGAGCGGGCGGUCGCGCUCCUUUCCACAACCAAACCCCUGUGCACAUCUCUGGGGACUUCUGGUGGGUUUGCGCCUGCCGAGUCCCUGGCUUUACACAAACUCUUCUAUGUAUUUAGAAUGUUCAAGGACCUCGCGUCCUGUUAACAAAUAA